rnacentral:rRNA from 1 species
GAUGAACGCUAGCUACAGGCUUAACACAUGCAAGUCGAGGGGAAACGACAUCGAAAGCUUGCUUUUGAUGGGCGUCGACCGGCGCACGGGUGAGUAACGCGUAUCCAACCUGCCCACCACUUGGGGAUAACCUUGCGAAAGUAAGACUAAUACCCAAUGAUAUCCCACGAAGGCAUCCGAAUGGGAUUAAAGAUUUAUCGGUGAUGGAUGGGGAUGCGUCUGAUUAGCUUGUUGGCGGGGUAACGGCCCACCAAGGCAACGAUCAGUAGGGGUUCUGAGAGGAUGAACGGCCACAUUGGGACUGAGAUACGGCCCAGACUCCUACGGGAGGCAGCAGUGGGGAAUAUUGGGCAAUGGGGGAAACCCUGACCCAGCAACGCCGCGUGAAGGAAGAAGGCCCCUCGGGUUGUAAACUCUUUUGUCGGGGGAGUAACGUGCGGGACGCGUCCCGUAUUGAGAGUACCCGAGAAAAAGCAUCGGCUAACUCCGUG